rnacentral:rRNA from 1 species
GACAGAGGUCCCGAGCGUUAGGCGGAAUCACUGGGCUUAAAGCGUGUGUAGGCGGAUGCCUAAGUACCUUGUGAAAUCCCACGGCUCACCCGUGGAACUGCUUGGUAUACUGGGUGUCUUGAGCCACUUAGGGGCUACCGGAACAAAUGGUGGAGCGGUGAAAUGCGUAGAUAUCAUUUGGAACGCCAAUGGUGAAAACAGGUUGCUGGGAGUAUGCUGACGCUGAGACACGAAAGCCAGGGGAGCGAACGGG